rnacentral:misc_RNA from 1 species
GAUGAAGAACGCAGCGAAAUGCAAUAAGUAAUGUGAAUUGCAGAAUUCCGUGAAUCAUCGAAUCUUUGAACGCACAUUGCGCCCCCUGGUAUUCCGGGGGGCAUGCCUGUCCGAGCGUCAUUGCAACCUUCAAGCGCGGCUUGUGUGUUGGGUCUCGUCCCCCGUGGACGGGCCCGAAAGGCAGUGGCGGCGUCCCGACAUGGUGCCCGAGCGUAUGGGAAUCCUCUUCCGCUCGAAUCGGCCCAUGCGGCGCUGGUCGUAACCAAAUUUUUUACCGGUUGACCUCGGAUCAGGUAGGGAUACCCGCUGAACUUAAGCAUAUCAAUAAGCGGAGGA